AGCCAUGCAUGUCUCAGUGCAUGCCGAAUUAAGGUGAAACCGCGAAUGGCUCAUUAAAUCAGUUAUGGUUCAUUAGAUUGUACCCACAUUUACUUGGAUAACUGUGGUAAUUCUAGAGCUAAUACAUGCAAAACAGAGUCCCGACCAGUGAUGGAAGGGACGCUUUUAUUAGAUCAAAACCAAUCGGUGGCGGAUGGCUCGUCCGUCCGUCCACCGUUUAUUUUGGUGACUCUGAAUAACUUUGUGCUGAUCGCACGGUCUUAGCACCGGCGACGCAUCUUUCAAAUGUCUGCCUUAUCAACUGUCGAUGGUAGGUUCUGCGCCUACCAUGGUUGUAACGGGUAACGGGGAAUCAGGGUUCGAUUCCGGAGAGGGAGCCUGAGAAACGGCUACCACAUCCAAGGAAGGCAGCAGGCGCGCAAAUUACCCACUCCCGGCACGGGGAGGUAGUGACGAAAAAUAACGAUACGGGACUCAUCCGAGGCCCCGUAAUCGGAAUGAGUACACUUUAAAUCAUUUAACGAGGAUCCAUUGGAGGGCAAGUCUGGUGCCAGCAGCCGCGGUAAUUCCAGCUCCAAUAGCGUAUAUUAAAGUUGUUGCGGUUAAAAAGCUCGUAGUUGAAUCUGUGUCGCACACUGUCGGUUCACCGCUCGCGGUGUUUAACUGGCAUGAUGUGGGACGUCCUACCGGUGGGCUUAGCCUCGC
rnacentral:rRNA from 1 species